UUUACGAUGAAUGAAUUUAUUUAUUUAUUUAUCGAGUCUGCAGCGGAAAGCCCUAGCACCUGGUUGAGGGUGAUUGCACCAUCUCUGCUUGCUUCAACAGUUUUGUAGCAGUUUCAUUUUCGCAGUUCCGUUCAAAACCUAAGGAGAAAAGUAAUGGAUGAAGGAAAACAUAAAUCGAGGAAAGAAGAAGGUGAUUCUAAGAGGAGUCACCGUGAUCGUGAUCGUGACAGAACUGUAGAAAGAGGUAAGGAUAGAACCGAUGGUAGGCACAAGGAUAAUAGGGAGAAGAGGGAUCGUGAAUCUAGAAGACAUGACAGAGAUAAAAGUACUGAUUCUGAUGAUAAACAUGAUAGGGAAAGGGAAAAGCGUAGAGAUAGUAAAGAUAAGGAUAAGGAUAGGACACGAGUUCAUGACGUCGAUAGAGAGAAAACCCGAGAUAGGAAAAGGGAGAGAGAUAGGGAAGACAAGGAGAAGGAGAGAUUGUUGAGGGAGAAAGAAAAAGAGAAGGAAAGAAAAGAGGAGAAGGAGAGGAUUAGAGAGAAAGAAAAGAUUAGGGAAAGGAGGGAUCAUGAGAGAGAGAAGGAAAAGGAAAAGGAAAAAGAAAGAGAAAAGGGGAGGAGAGGACGUGAGAGGGAGAAGCAUAGGGAUGUUAAUAGUGAAAACAGUGAUGGUGAGUCUAGGGAGAGGAGUCGGAAACGACAUAAGAAAGAGGAUGACGAUUACAAGGGGAGGGAGAAGGAUAAGAGUUCGAGCAAGUCGAACAGGAAAACUGAGGGACUUGAUGCAAGCCCUAGGAGAAAGAGUGAUAUAGAUGAUUCCGAUAACAAAGAUAAAGAGGAUAAACCUAGCCGUGAGGAGGAAAUGGAAGAUGAGCAACGGAGGUUGGAUGAAGAAAUGGAGAAGAGGAGGAGGAGAGUUCAAGAGUGGCAAGAGCUAAGGAGGAAGAAAGAAGAAGCAGAAAGAGAAAAGCAAGGUGAAGCAAGUGCUACUGAACCUGAGUCUGGUGGAAAGGCAUGGACACUUGAUGGGGAGGAGUCUGAUGAUGAAGAAGGAACAGGUAAACAUACAACUAUGGAUGUAGACGAAGACGACAAACUUGCUGAUAAGGAACCUGGGGAUUCUAUGGCGAUGGAUGUUGAUAAUGGAACAGUUGCAUCUGAUUUACAGAAUGGAGAUGCCGGUGCUAUGGAAGACGAUGAAAUAGACCCAUUAGAUGCUUUCAUGAAUUCUAUGGUUCUUCCUGAGGUUGAAAAGCUGAACAAUGCUGUUAGCUCGACACCUCUUGAUAAAGCUUCUGAUUUGAAGCCCAAGGAUAAAGGGGACGAGCGUAGUAAUGGUGGUGGCCAGUCAAAGAAAGGUUCAAACAAAUCUAUUGGACGGAUAAUUCCCGGUGAAGAGUCUGACUCGGAUUAUGCUGAUCCUGAAGUUGAAGGGGAUCCAUUAGAUGAAGAUGACGACGAGUUCAUGAAAAGAGUGAAGAAAACAAAAGCCGAAAAGCUUUCUAUAGUUGACCACUCAAAGAUCGACUAUAUACCAUUCAGAAAGAAUUUCUAUAUUGAAGUGAAGGAGGUCUCAAAGAUGUCACUUGAAGAAGUUGCAUUAUACAGGAAGCUGUUAGAGUUGAAGAUACAUGGAAAGGAUGUGCCCAAGCCUGUAAAAUCAUGGAACCAGACUGGACUUACUAGCAAAAUUUUAGAGAUGAUAAAGAAGCUGAACUUUGAAAAACCAAUGCCUAUUCAAGCUCAGGCGCUGCCUAUAAUUAUGAGUGGUCGAGAUUGCAUAGGCAUUGCUAAAACCGGGUCAGGUAAAACACUUGCUUUUGUUCUGCCAAUGUUGAGGCAUAUCAAGGAUCAGCCACCAGUUGUUGCCGGAGAUGGACCUAUUGGGCUUAUUAUGGCCCCUACAAGAGAACUUGUUCAACAGAUUCACAGUGAUAUAAAGAAGUUUACAAAGGUUAUGGGUAUCAGGUGUGUGCCUGUCUAUGGAGGUUCUGGUGUUGCUCAACAAAUCAGUGAGUUGAAACGUGGUACUGAGAUAGUGGUCUGUACCCCAGGUAGGAUGAUUGACAUACUAUGCACCAGUAGUGGAAAAAUUACAAACCUGCGUCGAGUCACUUAUUUGGUCAUGGAUGAGGCAGAUCGAAUGUUUGACAUGGGUUUUGAACCUCAAAUCACAAGAAUUGUUCAGAAUAUUCGGCCAGAUCGUCAAACAGUUCUCUUCUCUGCCACUUUCCCCCGCCAGGUUGAAAUUUUGGCUCGCAAGGUUUUGAAUAAACCUGUUGAAAUACAAGUUGGUGGGAGGAGUGUUGUGAACAAAGAUAUAGCACAGUUAGUUGAGGUGAGGCCGGAAAAUGAGAGGUUCCUUAGACUCUUGGAACUACUUGGAGAAUGGUACGAGAAAGGGAAGAUUUUGAUAUUUGUCCACUCACAGGAGAAAUGUGAUGCAUUGUUCAAGGAUUUACUCAGGCAUGGUUAUCCAUGUCUUUCUCUUCAUGGGGCUAAAGAUCAGACAGACCGUGAAUCCACAAUUUCUGAUUUUAAAACCAAUGUUUGCAAUUUGUUGGUUGCGACAAGUAUUGCUGCCAGGGGGUUAGAUGUCAAGGAGCUCGAGUUGGUGAUCAAUUUUGAUGUUCCUAACCACUAUGAAGAUUAUGUUCAUCGUGUUGGGCGAACUGGCCGUGCUGGCCGAAAGGGUUGUGCCAUUACAUUUAUUUCUGAAGAUGAUGCAAGAUAUGCACCGGAUCUGGUGAAAGCUUUGGAGCUAUCCGAGCAGAUUGUUCCCGAUGAUCUGAAAUCUCUUGCUGAUGGCUUUAUGGCAAAGGUGAAUCAAGGACUGGAGCAAGCCCAUGGGACGGGUUACGGAGGCAGUGGCUUUAAAUUUAAUGAAGAGGAAGAUGAGGUGCGGAGAGCAGCAAAGAAAGCACAAGCGAAAGAAUAUGGAUUUGAAGAAGACAAAUCAGAUUCUGAAGAUGAAGAUGAAGGUAUUAGGAAGGCAGGAGGUGAUAUCUCACAGCACCCUGCUCUUGCUCAAAUUAUUGCUGCGACAAAAGCGAAUGCUGCUGCAAUGCCUACUCCCAUCUCUGCAGCCCAACUGAUUUCGAAUGGUGGGCUACCUGUUUCUUUGCCAGGUGUUCUUGGUCUCCAGACUGCAACAGUCUUGCCUGGGACAGGGUUACCCCUUUCUACAAACGACGGAGCAGCUCGAGCAGCAUUAGCUGCUAUAAACCUGCAGCACAACUUGGCAAAAAUACAAUCUGAAGCAUUGCCAGAGCAUUAUGAGGCUGAGUUGGAAAUAAAUGAUUUCCCGCAGAAUGCUCGCUGGAAAGUCACACACAAGGAAACUUUAGGCCCCAUUUCUGAGUGGACUGGAGCUGCCAUUACAACAAGGGGGCAGUUUUUCCCACCUGGCAAAGUCGCAGGACCUGGGGAUCGUAAACUCUACUUGUUCAUUGAGGGUCCUAGUGAGCAGUCUGUUAAGAGAGCCAAAGCAGAGUUGAAGCGUGUUUUGGAAGACAUCACUAAUCAGGCUUUGCAACUACCUGGUGGAACUCAACCAGGCAAAUACUCUGUUGUAUAAAGGUCAACAUGACGGCAAAAUGAGACACUGUUAAACGCUCUUGUCUCGCACCCCAAUCCGGGACAAGUUGCUCAUAUGACUGCCUUUCUUGCCCAUUCAUUCUCAUACAGCUAGGUCUUUCGAGCCUAAUCUCGUGCGCUAGUUUGUGGAUGUCUAUGGUGCUGAUCAUGGUUUUGGUUUGGUGAUCUUUUGUCAUGAAAAGAGAAUCAAGAUGUGAUUGGAGGAGAUCACAUGAUUCAGUUAUAUAUGUAUAUGCCUAACAGCAACGAUUUGGAUUUCAGCACAUGUACCAUUAAAACGUACCUUUUUAUUAAUUUUAAUAUGUUUAUCAUGGCAUCUAAAUCAUCAGUAGGCUCAUAAGUCAUGGCACUUACAAGAUCAUUGCGUUUGCAUCUCCCUGGUUUUUGUGAACUCACAAUUCUAUUUUUGGUGUUGUAAUUCCAAAGGAUGUUGUAAAAUUUUAUUUGGUUUGCUGCUUUAAAAGUAUAUUAAUGAAUUAUUGAUGAAAAGUUAUCACAUUUAUUAUUGGCAGGAUGUUGACCCUGACAUGCUGACAAGGUUUCACUUCUUAAUCUUUGCCCUUCCUGUUUUGUCCUGUGGUUAUUGCUUGAUGUCUUGGUACAUUUCGCUUGGUAUAUGUGAUUUCACCAGUUAUUUUCUCUCUGCAAAUAUUCUCAUAUGAUGACCAGCUUGAAUCACAGGAAGGUUAUUAAGAUCAGCAGUCUUCUGGGCGAUCGAGUUAUUGUCUUUUGCUCAAUAUACCACACAAUGAGUUAGACGCAAACAUAAUGUGACUCGGCGUUAGGAGGAAAAUGAUAGCUUAGAUAUAGUGAAAUUUUGACAACACAUUGCUGUGUUUUUGUAGUCAGUUUGUGUUCUUUGCAACAUUCCUAGCUAAAUUUUAUGCUCGAAGUUAAAGCUUGUCCAUGCAAAAGUCUGUUUAAUUGUUUUAAUAAAAUUUGGAAUCCAAUGUCUGAGUCGUGAUUUGUGAA